rnacentral:tRNA from 1 species
UCUGGUGUAGCUUAAAGGCAUAGCCUUCGGCUGUUAACCGAAAAGGUGCGGGUUCGAUUCCCUGCCACCAGAGCCA